UCCUACGGGAGGCAGCAGUAGGGAAUUUUCCGCAAUGGGCGAAAGCCUGACGGAGCAAUACCGCGUGAGGGAAGACUGCCUAUGGGUUGUAAACCUCUUUUUUCAGGGAGGAAUAAAAUGACGUGUACCUGAAGAAUAAGCAUCGGCUAACUCCGUGCCAGCAGCCGCGGUAAGACGGAGGAUGCAAGUGUUAUCCGGAAUCACUGGGCGUAAAGCGUCUGUAGGUGGUUUAAUAAGUCAACUGUUAAAUCUUGAGGCUCAACUUCAAAAUCGCAGUCGAAACUAUUAGACUAGAGUAUAGUAGAGGUAAAGGGAAUUUCCAGUGGAGCGGUGAAAUGCGUAGAUAUUGGAAAGAACACCGAUGGCGAAAGCACUUUACUGGGCUAUUACUAACACUCAGAGACGAAAGCUAGGGUAGCAAAUGGGAUUAGAUACCCCAGUAGUCCUAGCCGUAAACUAUGGAUACUAGAUGUUGAACAGAUCGACCUGUGCAGUAUCAAAGCUAACGCGUUAAGUAUCCCGCCUGGGAAGUAUGCUCGCAAGAGUGAAACUCA
rnacentral:rRNA from 1 species